ACCUUCCAGUCCUCUGCUGUUCUUUCAGAAAUAGUUGAAAUUAACCAAUGAAUGCAGAAAUGUCUGGAGGAGGACAACUGACAGGCAGUUGGGCAGCGAAUGUGAUGGCACAAUAAUGCAGUCAUUACUGAAAUAAGCUAUUUUUCACAUCUCGUGAAUUCACACCCUCACGGCUGCAUGACACAUUCAACAGACAGAGGACAUUCAAGAUGCUUGACAACAACUGGCAGAUGCCUAAUAAUAAAGUCCACCUCAAACAGUGCUCCGGUCUCCUCUCCCACACUCUUCAUUUCAAGAUGUCUGAAGGAAGUAAUUAAGCACUCACAUGACUUUUGCUGCUUCAAGUAACCUCACAGACAGAGGAAGUGAUUGCUCAAUAUCUCUCCAGAGGUGUGACUCAGAUUCAAAGAGUGGAUGGAUGUAUUGCACAUGCUGGUGGAAAGAAAGAACUUACUGAAGAAUGCAGAGCCUUUCAUCAAGGGUGGAAUGGAAAUAAGUGGAAGGAAAGAUAGGAAAGGAAAAACAAAAGCAAGAAUGGAUGGGCUUCCAGGCUUUGCUCUCCUGCUAAUCUCUCUGACCACUGAUCUGAAAAGGGUGGCCAGAAGUACCAACUAA
rnacentral:lncRNA from 1 species